rnacentral:tRNA from 2 species
GGAGAGAUGGCUGAGUGGACUAAAGCGGCAGAUUGCUAAUCCGUUGCACGAAUUAUUCGUGCCGAGGGUUCGAAUCCCUCUCUCUCCG